rnacentral:tRNA from 1 species
GCCUUCUUAGCUCAGUGGUAGAGCGUGGGUCUCGUACAGAAAAUGUUAGUUAACCAAAGGCCGAGAGUUCAAUCCUCUCAGGAGGCA